rnacentral:rRNA from 1 species
UACGUAGGGUGCAAGCGUUGUCCGGAAUUAUUGGGCGUAAAGAGCUCGUAGGCGGUUCGUCGCGUCGGCUGUGAAAACCCGGAGCUCAACUCCGGGCCUGCAGUCGAUACGGGCGGACUCGAGUUCGGCAGGGGAGACUGGAAUUCCUGGUGUAGCGGUGAAAUGCGCAGAUAUCAGGAGGAACACCGAUGGCGAAGGCAGGUCUCUGGGCUGACACUGACGCUCAUGCACGAAAGCGUGGGGAGCAAACAGG